rnacentral:rRNA from 1 species
UCUUUGAAACGCAAGUUGCGCCUGAAGCCAUUAGGUUGAAGGCACGUCUGCCUGGGCGUCACG